AUUUUAACUUAUAUUUAAUUUCGCUCGGUCUUUCCUCUCAACAAGUCCAUCGACAACAGUCCAUGAAUCGGAAUUCUCACGCAGUCCUGGGUUAUGGAAUUUGAUUCAUCCUCCUCACCAUCAUCUUCUUCUUGUUUGGAUUCCGAGAAAACAUGGGGAGAACAGGUUUCCGAGAAAGUAUUAUCUGUGUACAAGUCUCUCCCCAAGAAGGGGAAGCCUCAGGGACGGGAAGUCACCGUUUUGGCCGCUUUUCUCACCUCCUCUCCUUCUCAAGAUUUGGAGGUUGUUGCAUUAGGAACAGGGACCAAAUGCAUUGGUCGCUCACGCCUGAGCCCACAUGGAGACAUAGUGAAUGACUCGCAUGCUGAAGUUAUUGCCCGAAGAGCUUUAAUGAGGUUCUUCUAUACAGAGAUACAAAGUCUUUUGACCAUUAGUAAUAGGCAUACACAUAAUUAUGGAAGCGAACAGUUGGAAGGCGAUGAUAUCACAAACAUGCUUUUCCAUUUGGACUCAGAUGGUCCUGGCCAAAGAAAAAUAACAAUGAGGGCGGGUUGGAAAUUACAUUUAUAUAUAUCACAGUUGCCAUGUGGGGAUGCCUCACUUAGUUUGCCAUUAUUUUCUUUGAGAAGCUUCGCCUUAAUAAAUGGGGAUUUACCAUCAUCAGUGAGUGAAAAUGAUUCCAUGGAUGAACAGACUGAUUCCUUGAGCAACCUUGAUGAUUUCACAGGCGAUUUUUUGGAUGCUUCAAUGAAGAAUAAUGUGGGUUCAUUUUCUGGCAAUGGUUCACAAAUUAUUGGCAUGAUCCAAAGGAAGCCUGGUCGUGGUGAUACAACUCUGUCCGUUAGCUGCUCUGACAAGAUAGCCCGUUGGAAUGUCCUUGGAGUUCAAGGAGCUCUGCUUUCGUAUUUCCUUCAACCAGUGUACCUUUCUUCCAUUACUGUUGGAGAGUCUCAUACCAGUCCUAAAAUUUUUCCCUUAGAGGAUAAUCUGAGAAGAGCUUUAUAUAAUCGUGCCCUACCAUUAUCAGACAAACUAAAGAGUCCCUUUCAAGUGAACCAGGUCUGCUUAGUGUCUAGUCCACUAUUUUGGAAGGCCCCAAUACCACCAAAAGAGUUUCAACAUUCGGAGACUGCUACCACUACUUUAACAUGCGGGUAUUCAAUAUGUUGGAAUAAGUCUGGCUUGCAUGAAGUCAUUCUUGGUACCACUGGCAGAAAGCAAGGCACCUCUGCAAAAGGGGCACUUUAUGCAUCUACAGAGCCGUCUUUAUGCAAGAAACGGUUGUUGGAAGUGUUUUUGUUGCUAAUGCAUAAAACCUCAAUUGAGAGCCCUGCUAAUGAGGUUUCUUAUCGAGAACUCAAGGAUGGGGCUCAAGAGUAUUGUUCAGCUUCAAAAAUUUUCAAAGGAAGUCCACCGUUUAAUGGUUGGCUCUUAAAAGCAUUGAACUUGGAGGCCUUCUCGGUUGUAAGAUAGUGAGUAAAUACAAUGCAGAAGAGUGUCUAUUGUACUGAGCUGUGGCAGCUUACCUUAUUUAUGAGUUCUUAGAAAGUGACCUUCUGCAGCUAGCUUCUGAGCUUGGCGAAGCCCUGCCAUGCAUGUUGCUCUGAUCUCCUUCUGAAGCUUAGGCCCAGGUGAGCAGGAGAGGUGCGCAAGCAUGAAAAAGAAUACCGAGAACUGGAGUUAUAUUUUCUGGCAUGGAGCUGGACCUCACAGGCAUUUUCCAGGAUCUCUGAAGAGAGGUGGUGCAACUUCCAUCACUACUACUGUGCUCUUCUUCGUCUUCCUCUUCAUCUUUGUUGGCGCCUUGGUUUACACAGGAUGGAUCGAUGCUGUAAGUUCCCAGAAACUCCUAUACAAACCAUCUUCCUCAUAAACAUCUUGGCCUCUUCAUUGAUUGAUUAUUAUACCUCUUUGGGUAAUGACCAGUUCCUUCAUUGAUUUCAUGUCUCUACUCAUAAAUUUUUAUUAUUAUUUUAAUUUUGCUAAUAAUAAUGUAAAAACAUCAACCCAUCCCUUUCCUAGACUAUCUCUUGAAAACUCUUCAUUAUUUUAAUUUCAAUUUUUUAACAAGAAUAA